AUGUCAGGAAGUGAAACCCCAUAAUGAAAAGCAAGCGAUUCCCUCCCGGACAUCCAGGGUGGUCCGGAACACGGAGGAGCGAGCGCGACCUUCGCGGGUGGAACGGGCGUCCUGCAUGUGUCCACAGGGCUGUGUGCAUGGUCACCGUGUCCUGAUUAAGAGAUGUCCACAGAUGGAGAAGGUCCCUCUUACCUCCAAGAGCAGAUUCAGCACUUGCUCCCACUGAACUGGUGGGUCUCACCGGAUACUCAAUGUAGGUAUGGCGCCAAACCCGAUGCAGACUCAGAAUCAGAAUCAGAAUUCUUCAUUGUCAUCGCACUGUUGCACAUACAAUGAAAAAAUCACUUUAAGAGUCGAUAAGAGUCACUCUUAAAAGUGGCAUCGGGAAACAACGACAAAAAACACACGUCAAAGGUCAGUUACAGUGACAGUAAAUAAACGCUAAACAACAACAACAAUCAAUAAAUAAAGCAACACCUGGAUUUAUGGUAAUAAAUAAUGUCACAGUGUAAAGUGGCAAGUGUGUAAACAAACUGUCAUGUGUAAACAACAGCUAGCUAGCUGCUUUAAUGGUCUUGGAGUCUGGCCACUCUUGGAAAGUGGCUGUUUUCAGCCUUGUGGUUUGUGUCUGUAUGGCCCUGUAGUGUUUGCCUGAAGAUAAGGAGGCAGACAGGUGACGUCUGGGGCGAGUGGAAUCUCACGAGAACCUGGACCUUGUACAGUCCGUUGUACCUGAUGUCCGAAACACUAGGUUGCCUAUUUUGACAUAAAAUUCCUGUUUUCAGCGCCAGAUACUACUGGAAUAUUUCCAAGCUGCUGCUGUGAUUAACACGUUAUGUAAAGUUUUCACAGCUUACAAUAACUAAGGUCGAGUGUAGCAUGCUGUUUGUCAGCAUCUAGGCUUGAGAUUUCGAUCUCGAAAUAGGUGGUGUUAUAACUUCACACCUUGAGGGUAUAACAUCCUUAUCCCACCCAUGGCUGGGUGUGUAGAGUUUCCAUGCUCUCCCUGCGUUUGUGUGGGUUUCCUCUGGGUGCUUCAGAAUCCUCCAGCAGCUCAAAGACAGUGAGACGAACUGUUGUCUGUAAAUCAUAUGUGCAUCCUGCCUUGUGCUCGGUGGUUCCUGAAAUGUGGUUCCUGAACUCCAGGCUCAUCUUGACGUUACGCUGCAUUAGUGCUAUGGAUAGAUGUGUCAGUUUUUUUCCGGGAUGUUCGAGCUAUUAAAUGUUUAAAUCUACAAAGUUUAUGAAUCCAGGUACUAACGUUGACAAAAUAUUUCAGCAUUUCACAGAAGCAUGACUGUGUUAGAAAGCUUAAAUCUGUCGUGUGGGAGCAAGCCUGCUUAGGGAUGACUGUGUGAUAAUGUACGGUGUCCUGUCUGCUUUCAGCAGUUUACAGUAAACUGCACUGUCAGAUUCACCAGAAACCAGCUCAGGGCUGUAGGCCUCACUCUAUAUACCCCAGCAACCAGCCUUUGACAGGGAUUAAUAAGGGGUUUUGCUAUCAGGUUUUGGCCAGAAAUCUGUAACAGAUCUUUACAUAAUUCAGGGGGAAAAGAUGCUUUAAAAACAUGUUUCAAAUUAGUCCAAUACAAAUUCUGCAUCUGGAGCAAUUUUCAUGGAUGGUUUUGAGUGAUGUGUAACUAACUGAAUGACAUGGUGAACAUAAAUGACUAAAAUGUUAUGAGGGUAGAACAGAAAAUGAUUGGUUCAGAGGGAUAACCAAUCAGACUGCAGAGGAGGUGGGUCCAAGCAACUAGAUGCAGAAUCCCAGAUAUCUGAUUGGUUGGUCUCACCUUCUUUAGUUACUGGAACCCACCUCCUCUAGAAUCUGAUUGGUUAUCCUUCUGAACCAAUCAUUUUUCUUUCUGCCCUCAGGACAUUAUUAUAUAAGUAAAACUCCCAUGAGCUAUCGAUGUCUACAUAUUUCAUAAUCAUGAUUAUGUAAAGUUCUAAACUGUAUUUUCCUAAAGCGGUGGAGUGGUGGUGUUGCAGAUAAAGCAUGACCCAUGUGACCAAAGGGUUGUAGGUUCAACUCUGUUCAGGGACCUGUUCAGGGACCUGUUCUCUCCAUGCCAUCACCAUCAUCAUAGGUUUUGUACGGCAUCUAGAACAUUCAUAGUCGAUGGCACUUCUGUGAAACUGCACUAAAAAAAUACAACAUCGAGAUAGUUUGUGGAAUAACUUUUUAAACGUUUUUUUUUUUUUUUUUAAUGAAAACAUGUCCCUCCCUUGUGACCUUGAUCUUGCUGUGUUCCUGGCAAGUGUCCCACCAGCGGGUGUCAGCAGCGCUGCGACGCGUGCAGAGAUGUGAAGGCUUUAACGAGCAGGAUGCGUGCCUCGCUGCCGGAUCGCCCUGUGGGCUCCACACGCCAGCACACACCGCGACACGGCAGCGCGGUUAAAGGUCCUACCCCUGACACGAUAAGGCAGGAAUGUCAGGUCAUCUGAAAACCAUGAAUUUUCCGCGGUAGCUGCACCACGCAUUUUUUUUCUGCGCCGCAUUGAGAGUCAAAAAGUGAGUAGAGCCACACAGCUAGAGAACAGGCAGAGAACCCGUCUGAUGAGUCAUCGGACAGGUUCGCGAUGUAGCGUGAGAAGGCUUCGUUACAGAAGGCAACCAAGGUCCAAGACCACCGGCUGACCUGAUUCCACGCCAACCCACUGCUCCACAUGGCCCAGAAUCCCAAACCCAGCCCCACAGGUGACUCUUUAAGGUGCUCAGCAUUGCGGCUAACCCUCACCUUUUGGAUUUCCCCAGUGCUGACGGAAGGCACUGACUACUGCCCCCUGUCUACAGCAUGCGGUAUCACACCCAAGCACAUAUGCCUACAAUUUGGCCUGUAAUCAUUACUCUCUGUAAUCAUUACUCUCUGUAAUCAUUACUCUUAGUGUUUCUUCAUCUUUUUUUGACAAACAGGGGCUCUGGGGUUCAUGCAGAGUUUAUAAACACAAAAGGAACCACCGUUAAUCGGGGCCAUUCUUAUCUGGAGUGUCCCGCACUCGAUUAUUGUUCAGUUUUGGGGAUCCUCUUCUAUAGUGCACUGCUAAACACUUUGGGUAAUUCAAAGACACACAUUUGACGGUAGGAGGGAAAACAAAGACCUGAAGGGGACCUGAACAAGAGAAAUAUCAAAAUGGAAACAGAACAGGGGUGUGGUUCGAACCCGACCCUGGAUGUACGAGCCAGCAGUGCUACACGCUACGUGGGCCCAUCUCUACACCCCAGCCGAUUAGCUUAAUGAUGUGAACCACAUGUGGAUUCAUGCAGUUCCUUUGCAGUAUCGGUGAUAAGAGUCGUCAGCACACCAUGUCUAUGAGUGUACAUGCCAGUCGUGGCUCUUCCCUUUGGUCGGUUCCUGCUAUUUUGUGAUCCUCCUGGGUCUCGGGGCACCUGCUCCGCACAAAGCAGAGCCCGCCGUCUCCAUGGGGCUCCUCGGCAACCAGAUCCAACGGCAACGCCAGACGCCCGUCCCAAUUAGUAGCUGCUCGCCCAGGGUGAGGCAUUAAGCUGAGCCUCCCACAUCCCAAAGUGGCAUUCUAGAAGGCUCCGUUACCCCCCCUGAGCCUCAGAACCUGGAACAAACUGCAACAUCUCUGCCGUGUCUGAUAUCAGGCUGCUGCAGAAGACGGCGACUCGAUCGAAAGUUAUUUCGGUACACAGCCAGAUACUAAUCUUUCCACCUUUAUUGAUUGAAAACAGGAUGUUUUAAAAAUUGCUUUAAUAAGAGCAGGGUCCUUCUUUGGAUUAUCAUUCUGCUUUGUAUCCUCACUAAAUCACCCAUAUGAGCUGGACCCCGAGACACAAACAGCCCCCCCCCCUUUUUCUGGCUGGGUCACAUUUUUCUGAUACCCGUGGAAAUCUUCCUGGUGAGGCUGUGAUCUUCCUGCCCAAACCAACAGGCCUUAUAUUUAAUAUUUAUCAUCCGAGAAUCUCUGCUUUCAGCACAAUAGCACCCGUACCAUUCCUUAGACAGGAACUGGCACCAGUGUGAACAUGAUCAAAGUAACUAAGGCAGUGGUAGCUGUGGUUUUGCUCGGCUAUAACGGACACGCAGGCUCCGCCUAUAAGGCGUGUGGCGUGCCGGUGAUAUCCAGCGCAGAUACUUAGGUAAGAUUAUUAAUAGUCAUGCAUCUGGUCAGGUAAAGUUGGAUUACUACAUGUACAAUAUAAUAAUCUAUACCACAAGUGUGUCUGCUGGGGUGUGAUAUGAGUAAAUGGUGUCCUGUAGUUGUGUUCUGGGCUACAACAACUCUGGACAUAACGGACUUUGGAUAUAACAGACUGUCUUGCCAGGUCCCUUGAAGUCCGUUAUAACUGGAUUUUUACUGUAUUAAAAUUCAAAUUCCGCUGACUGAAAUACCUGCAAAUGGACGGUAUUCAGAAGAUCAGUUCAGUAGUGUGUGUCUGCUGCAUCCUAUACAACCUGCCCUACGACCCUGGGGAUCAGCACCCUGACAUAAUAAACAAUGAGGCCCUGGAUGAUGACAUUUAUCCCCCUCAGCCUCUAAAAUGAACAGGCAGUUCAUUACAGAGACACACUAUGCAAUAGCUUAUAAAGGCCGAGCCACAGCCAAACAAACACCUCAGCCUGUUACACGUACAAGCAACUGUUUAUACAUAUUAGCUUAGCCUUCAACACAUUCAUCCCUCAAAAGCUGAUUGUGAAACUGAGUAGGUUAGGGCUGAACACCACUCUCCGCAAGUGGAUUUGGGCUUUCCUGACAGAGAGGCCCCAGUUUGUACAGCCAGGUUGCAGCAUCUCCAACACCAUCACAGUACAGCAGUACAGGAGGUCUGCAGGGCUGCGUACUUAGUCCUCUGCUGUUCACCCCGCUGACUUAUGACUGCAUACAGUAGCAGCACACAACACCAAUCACAUCAUCAAGUUUGCAGAUGAUACAACUGUGCUGAGAUUGAUAAGCAGGGACUGCAUUCAGAAAGGAGGUAGAACGGCUGUCCGCAUGGAGCAGGGACAACAACUUAUCUCUCAGUGCUGAAAAAAGACAAAAGAAAUAAUCAUGGAUUUUUGAAAGACUUCUCCUGUCCAUACUGCCAUCAGCAUGAAUGGGUCAGCUGUGGAGAUCGUAAGGAGUACCAAGUUCCUCGGUGUGCAUAACUGAGGAACUUACAUGAACAGGCACCCCCUCCUCCCUAACCAAGAAUGCCCAGCAUUACACUUCCUGCGACGGCUGAAACGGGCGAGGCUCCUCCCUUCCAUCCUCCACAGAGGCACCGUCGACAUUGUUCUGAGCAGCUGCAUCAAUACCUGGUGCGUCAACUGCAACACGUUCCAUCGCAAACGCCUGCAGAGGACAGUGAAAACAGCAGAGAACACCACCGGGGCGCCUCUCCCUUCGCUACAGCACACAUUUCACAAGCGCAGUGUUUGCAAGGCCUGCGGGAUAGUGCAGGAAUCCUCACAUGGACUGUUCACUCUCCUGAGUAGAGGAGGUUCCGCAGAAUCAGAGCCAGGUCUACCAGGUUGGAGGACAGUUUUUAUCCCCAGGCUGUCAGGCUCCUCAGGCCCCCCUGGAAUCUUCCACACUGCCUCAUUCACUGCUAUGCAGAAUUUAUAUACAUGCACAGGCACUUCACUGUAAUGUCCAGUUUGCACAUAGACCAAAAGUACUGGAAAUCACACACCACCUUUAAAUAUCUCUUGCACAUUGCAUUUGUCACUUUGUCAUGUCUGCGAUAUGAAGAAUCAUCAUUGUUCUGUACCGUGCCUAUUGUUAUUCUUUAGCCGUGAGACAUUCUGACCUGUCAGCUGUUUACACAUGUUCUUAAAUAUUAUCACGCACUGCAUGCCAUGCUGCUAUUCUGAUAAGCCUGAUGUACAUACACUAAGACCAUACAUCGCAUUAAUCUACAUAUUACUUGCUAUAUGUCACACUGCUGCUACUUUUGUGUCUAGGUUUGCACAGUCUUUGUCUUUGCACAAUGUCGUGUUGUGUUUUUCAUUUCUAUUUGCUUUAAGUAUUUGUUACACUGUGGACCCCGAGCUUUGCCGUUUCCUCUCACUGUAUACUUCUCUAUGGUUGAGAUGACAAUAAAGUUCACUUUGACAAAUUUG